rnacentral:rRNA from 1 species
AUUGAACGCUGGCGGCAGGCCUAACACAUGCAAGUCGAACGAGUGGCGGACGGGUGAGUAAUGUCUGGGAAACUGACUGAUGGAGGGGGAUAACUAAUGGAAACGGUAGCUAAUAACGCAUACCAUCGGAUGUGCCCAGAUGGGAUUAGCUUGUAGGUGGGGUAACGGCUAACCUAGGCGACGAUCCCUAGCUGGUCGGAGAGGAUGACCAGCCACACUGGAACUUGGACACGGUCCAGACUCCUACGUGAGGCAGCAGUGGGGAAUAUUGCACAAUGGGCGCAAGCCUGAUGCAGCCAUGCCGCGUGUAUGAAGAAGGCCUUCGGGUUGUAAAGUACUUUCAGCGGGGAGGCGUUACCCGCAGAAGAAGCACCGGCUAACUCCGUGCCAGCAGCCGCGGUAAUAC